GCCACGCCUUUUUUUUCAGACCAGGAAGUGCAAUUCCCCACAGCAGGACUUUCUUCAGAGCUUGCAUGUGUUCCCCAUGGCUGCUUUGGGUGGAGGAGGAUGAGUGUCCUGCAGCCGCAGGAGUGGGAGUUGGCAGUUGGCAGUUUUCUCAUACUGAAGACAGUCAAGGGAUGGUGCUGAAUAAGUUCACGAUAAAGAGAAUGAAGAUGUUGAGGUCAAGGGAUGCUGAAGUCAGAAAAAAAAAUGGAACCACUCAAACCACUGAGGCCAUGCCUAGCAUGAAUAUAAGCCAGCAAACUCUUGAACCUUGCUGGACUCUUGCAGAACGCAUCCAUCAAGUAAAGCAUCAGUGGGAUGCAUAGAAGAGUCACUGACAUGUCAAUGCAGGAGAACAACAGGUGCACACAACGAAAUGAAUGAUGAAUUGAUGGCUGAAUUCUUCAGCUUCAGGGUCAUGGUUUUGUACAUUCUGACUCACUAUCACUCUGUCAUGGCUUACUGAGAGACCUGAAUAGAAGAGGCAUCAUUGAAGGUGUUUUUAAAACUUUGAGGGGGGCAGCUGUUAUAAUGCAUCCUUUUAUAAUCAUUGUAUUAUUAUUAUUAUUAUUAUCGGAAGGCAAUGUAGCCCGUUAAAAUCAAGUCUUUAUUCUUUUUUCACAACAAUAAAACAAGUUGUCUUAAUGCGCAUUGAGGUCGACCACACAGCGUGAGCCCAUUCUAAGAGUUUUGUUUUAUUGAUUUUCUCUCAGAGAAAUGAUUUGAAAGAAGUGGUAUCUGGGGCUGUUGGGAAAAGUUGUUUCUGAAAGCAUUUAUAGCAGCAAAAUGUUAAGCUUGGAUUUAAAGUGAACACGAUUUGUAGUAAACGGGCUAAAACAUGCAAACCACUGAUACGCUUCUUUCAGGCU